rnacentral:lncRNA from 1 species
GGGGGAAACGACUUGGUGAUACUGAUAGGGAAGGUUAAGAAUAUCAGUUCCCAAAACUACUUUUUUCUUUUUAAGGAUUUAUAUGAUUGUCACUGCCACUUACAGUGUCUGAGUGAAAGGGCCUCCUCCCCACCUGUACACGCCCACCUCACCUGCUCCCAGCAACCACUCAGGGCUGAGCAGGUUUCCCGAAAGCCAGGACUCUAGCCUCAGGCAACAGGCUCCAGGUGAACAGCACAAAGUGCUGGCUGACCACAAACACAACUUGCCUGACUGGCUGGCUCGGGUACAGGCACUGUUGUCCUGGAUUCCUUGAAGCAAGGUCACAUGCUUUCUCCUUGGUACCACUUGGUGCCAUGCUUUCCCCUCGUACACACCUGAUUACAGCAAUAAUCACAGACUGCAGCAAUUAAUACUCCGUAUCUGUUUCCUGACUAGAUAGCGAGGCAGUAUAGGGCAGGGGUUCAAAAUCCAACAGUGUCUGAUAGAACAAGUACACUCAACAUUUUUCACAUAGAUAACAGUAUCACUGAAGAAGAGAAUUCUACUAGGGCUAUAAAAACCACAAAGCAUUACAUUAAACAAAUUGUUCUGAAAAAGUAAAUCAUUCCAUUCCUUCAGCAAGCG